UCCCUGGUGGUCCAGUGGCUAGGACUCUGUGCUCCCAAUGCAGGGGGCCCGGGUUCAAUCCCUGGUCAGGGAA
rnacentral:tRNA from 2 species